AUUGAACGCUGGCGGCAUGCUUUACACAUGCAAGUCGAACGGUAACAGGCCUUCGGGUGCUGACGAGUGGCGAACGGGUGAGUAAUGCAUCGGAACGUGCCCAGAGGUGGGGGAUAACGCAGCGAAAGCUGUGCUAAAACCGCAUGAGAUCUGAGGAUGAAAGCGGGGGACCAGGCAGCAAUGUUUGGCCUCGCGCCUUUGGAGCGGCCGAUGUCAGAUUAGGUAGUUGGUGGGGUAAAGGCCUACCAAGCCGACGAUCUGUAGCUGGUCUGAGAGGACGACCAGCCACACUGGGACUGAGACACGGCCCAGACUCCUACGGGAGGCAGCAGUGGGGAAUUUUGGACAAUGGGCGCAAGCCUGAUCCAGCAAUGCCGCGUGCGGGAAGAAGGCCUUCGGGUUGUAAACCGCUUUUGUACGGAACGAAAAGGCUCUGGCUAAUACCUGGGGCUGAUGACGGUACCGUAAGAAUAAGCACCGGCUAACUACGUG
rnacentral:rRNA from 1 species